GGGCUUGACAUCCCACGAACCUGCCCGAAAAGGUGGGGUGCCCGCAAGGGAGCGUGGAGACAGGUGGUGCAUGGCUGUCGUCAGCUCGUGUCGUGAGAUGUUGGGUUAAGUCCCGCAACGAGCGCAACCCUCACCCCUAGUUGCCACCGGGUAAUGCCGAGCACUCGAGGGGAACUGCCAGCGUCAAGCUGGAGGAAGGCGGGGAUGACGUCAAGUCAUCAUGCCCCUUACGCCCUGGGCUACACACGUGCUACAAUGGCCGGUACAAAGGGACGCAAGACCGCGAGGUGGAGCUAAUCCCAAAAAGCUGGUCUAAGUUCAGAUUGCAGUCUGCAACUCGACUGCAUGAAGGAGGAAUCGCUAGUAAUCGCGCAUCAGCCCGGCGCGGUGAAUACGUUCCCGGGCCUUGUACACACCGCCCGUCACACCACGAAAGCUGUCUGUACUCGAAGUCGCUGAGA
rnacentral:rRNA from 1 species